AUGACGGUGCUAGCAUGGAACUAUUGAGGGCAACCUCGCCCAGUUCAAGAACUGGUGUGCCUCGUGCACACAUACAAUCCCAAGCUUGUCUUCCUCUCUGAAACGCGGCAGAAUAAUAAGUAUGUUAAGAACCUUAAGUGGAUGCUAGGCCUUCGCCAUUGUAUCACGCAACCCGACAUUAGAAAAGGUGCCGACAUUGCCCUAUUUUAUGAUGAGAAUGUUGAAAUAAAAAAGAUUGCCACAGGGGCGAGAUACAUCGAUGUGUUGAUCAGGUUAAAUCCCAAUGGCCUUCAGUGGCCUGGAACUUUUGUCUACGGUGAACCAAAGGCUCAUGAACAACACCAUAUGUGGACAUUGUUGAGGAGAAUCAAGGAUACUAGUGACCUCCCAUGGCUUAUGGUGGGAGAUUUUAAUGAAACUAUGUGGCAAGCGGAGCACUUAUCUGCCACUAGAAGGUCAGAGAGUAAUAUGGAGAAUUUUCGAAAGCUUCUCUCAGACUGUAACUUAUUUGACUUGGGCUUCAGAGGGCCGAAAUGGACCUAUAACAACAAGCAGGGAAAAAAAGCAAUGUCUGAGCCCGGUUGGACAGGUUUGUGGCAUCGCCAGAAUGGUCGGAUUAUUUCAUAA
rnacentral:rRNA from 1 species